rnacentral:rRNA from 1 species
CAUGCGGAUUAAUUCGAUGCAACGCGAAGAACCUUACCUGGGUUUGACAUAUGCCGGUAGCAGCCAGAGAUGGUUGUGCCUUUUGGGCCGGUUUACAGGUGGUGCAUGGCUGUCGUCAGCUCGUGUCGUGAGUUGUUGGGUUAAGUCCCGCAACGAGCGCAACCCUUGUCCUAUGUUGCCAGCGGUUCGGCCGGGAACUCAUAGGAGACUGCCGGGGUCAACUCGGAGGAAGGUGGGGAUGACGUCAAGUCAUCAUGCCCCUUAUGUCCAGGGCUUCACGCAUGCUACAAUGGCUGGUACAGAGGGUUGCGAUGCCNNNAGGUGGAGCGAAUCCCUUAAAGCCAGUCUCAGUUCGGAUUGGGGUCUGCAACUCGACCCCAUGAAGUCGGAGUCGCUAGUAAUCGCAGAUCAGCAUUGCUGCGGUGAAUACGUUCCCGGGCCUUGUACACACCGCCCGUCAAGUCAUGAAAGUCGGUAACACCCGAAGCCGNNNNNNNNNCCUUUUUGGGGGGAGCUGUCUAAGGUGGGAUCGGUGAUUAAGAGGAAGUCGUAACAAGGUAGCC